AUGGGGUGCUUACGGCGGCUGCUGCGCAGGGGCCUGCGCGCCAUGCUCCCGUCCAAGAGGCCGUCCGACGCCGCGGCGGGGGACGAAAACGGCCGCGGAGGGGACGCCAAGAGGCCCCGGCUCGGGGAGACGGAGGGCGGGGGCAGUAACGGCGCCGCGCCGCAGGAGAUCGACGAGGACCUCCACAGCAGGCAGCUCGCCGUGUACGGGAGGGAGACCAUGCGCCGCCUCUUCGCCUCCGACGUCCUCGUCUCCGGGCUCAACGGGCUCGGCGCCGAAAUUGCAAAGAAUCUUGCCCUUGCUGGAGUCAAGUCUGUCACUAUACAUGAUGUAAAAAAUGUGGAGAUGUGGGACUUGUCUGGCAAUUUCUUUUUAUCUGAGGAUGACAUUGGGAAGAACAGGGCCGCUGCUUGUGUAGCAAAGCUGCAGGAGCUCAACAAUGCUGUUCUUAUCUCAGCUCUGACAGAGGAACUAACGACUGAGCACCUGUCCAAGUUCCAGGCUGUUGUUUUCACUGAUAUAGGUUUAGAUAAGGCUUAUGAAUUUGAUGAUUACUGCCACAAUCACCAGCCUCCUAUUUCCUUUAUCAAAUCUGAAGUCUGUGGCCUUUUUGGUAGUAUCUUUUGUGACUUUGGACCAAAGUUUACUGUUCUUGAUGUUGAUGGUGAAGAUCCACAUACUGGUAUAAUUGCAUCCAUCAGCAAUGAUAAUCCUGCCCUGAUAUCCUGUGUUGAUGAUGAACGGCUUGAGUUCCAAGAUGGUGAUCUUGUUGUUUUCUCUGAGGUCCAUGGUAUGACAGAACUGAAUGAUGGAAAACCAAGGAAGGUUAAAAAUGCAAGGCCGUUUUCAUUUAGCAUCGAGGAGGACACAAGUAACUUCGGCAUUUAUGUAAAAGGUGGAAUUGUCACACAGGUGAAGGAACCAAAGGUGCUAUGCUUCAAGGCACUAAGAGAUGCCAUGACAGAUCCUGGAGAAUUUCUUCUGAGUGACUUCUCAAAGUUUGAGCGCCCCCCUGUGCUUCACCUGGCAUUUCAAGCUCUGGACAAAUUUAAGAAAGACCAUGGACGCUGCCCUGCUGCUGGUUGUGAGGAGGACGCUCAAAGUUUUCUGAAGAUUGCUGCUGCUAUUAAUGAAUCUUCAGCUGAUCGGAAGCUGGACACUAUUGAUGAGAAACUAUUCCGACAGUUUGCAAGUGGUUCUAAAGCUGUUUUGAACCCUAUGGCUGCGAUGUUUGGUGGUAUUGUUGGUCAAGAAGUUGUGAAGGCUUGUUCAGGGAAGUUCCAUCCUCUCAACCAGUUCUUCUAUUUUGAUUCUGUUGAAUCCCUGCCAACAUAUCCGUUGGAACCCCAAGACUUGAAGCCAUCAAACAACCGCUAUGAUGCUCAGGUCUCUGUAUUUGGUUCCAAGCUUCAGAAGAAAAUGGAGGAGGCUAAUACUUUUGUUGUAGGGUCUGGUGCUCUUGGAUGUGAAUUCCUGAAAAACCUUGCGUUAAUGGGAGUGUCUUGUAGCAGCAAGGGAAAGUUAACCAUAACAGAUGAUGAUAUCAUUGAGAAAAGUAACUUAAGCCGUCAAUUCUUGUUCCGUGACUGGAAUAUUGGACAGGCAAAGUCUACUGUGGCUGCUACAGCCGCUAGUGCUAUCAACCCCAGCCUUCACAUUGAUGCUCUCCAGAACCGUGCCUGUCCAGAUACCGAGAAUGUCUUCCAUGACACAUUCUGGGAGGGCCUAGAUGUUGUCAUCAAUGCACUUGAUAAUGUCAAUGCCAGGAUGUAUAUGGACAUGAGGUGCCUGUACUUCCAGAAGCCACUACUUGAGUCAGGUACAUUGGGUGCAAAGUGCAAUACUCAGAUGGUGAUUCCUCACCUUACUGAAAAUUAUGGGGCUUCAAGAGAUCCUCCUGAGAAGCAGGCGCCUAUGUGCACAGUCCAUUCUUUUCCACACAACAUUGAUCACUGCUUGACAUGGGCUCGUUCAGAGUUUGAGGGUUUGCUCGAGAAAACGCCAAAUGAAGUGAACUCUUUUCUGUCUAACCCUGCUCAAUAUGCUGCUGCAAUGAGGAAGGCAGGUGAUGCUCAAGCAAGAGAAUUGCUUGAACGUGUCUCUGAGUGUCUUAACAAGGACCGGUGCAGUACAUUUGAUGAUUGCAUAAGCUGGGCCCGACUGAAAUUUGAGGAUUAUUUCUCAAACCGCGUGAAGCAGCUCACAUUCACUUUUCCUGAAGAUGCUGCCACUAGUAUGGGUGCUCCUUUCUGGUCUGCCCCCAAGCGCUUCCCUCGUGCACUGCAGUUUUCAGCCGCUGAUCAGUCCCACCUUAACUUCAUUAUGUCUGCUUCGAUAUUGAGAGCGGAGUCAUUUGGGGUUGCUAUACCUGAAUGGGCAAAGGAUACUAGUAAGCUGGCUGAUGUAGUAAAGAAGAUUGCAGUUCCUACAUUCGAGCCAAAGCAAGGGGUUAAUAUUGUGACAGAUGAGAAGGCAUCCAAUCUUUCCAGCACCUCAGUUGAUGAUGUCGCCGUUAUUGAAGACCUUCUGGCUAAGUUGCAAGAAUAUGCCAAGGGGCUACCUCCAGGAUUCCAAAUGAAACCUAUCCAAUUUGAGAAGGAUGAUGACAGCAACUUCCACAUGGAUUUAAUAUCCGGAUUAGCAAACAUGCGCGCAAGGAACUACAGCAUCCCAGAGGUCGACAAGCUGAAGGCCAAGUUCAUCGCAGGCAGGAUCAUCCCAGCCAUCGCAACCUCGACCGCCAUGGCCACGGGACUGGUGUGCCUCGAGCUGUACAAGGUCAUCGCCGGCGAGCACCCCGUCGAGGACUACCGCAACACAUUCGCAAACCUCGCCCUGCCCCUCUUCUCGAUGGCCGAGCCGGUCCCGCCCAAGGUCAUGAAGCACAAGGAGACGAGCUGGACCGUGUGGGACCGGUGGUCCGUCCAGGGCAACCUCACCCUUGCCGAGCUCCUCCAGUGGUUCGCUGACAAGGGCCUCACCGCCUACAGCAUCUCGUGCGGCACCUCCCUGCUGUACAACAACAUGUUUGCGAGGCACAAGGACCGGCUGGCCAAGAAGGUGGUCGACAUCGCCAGGGAGGUGGCCAAGGUGGACGUCCCCGAGUACCGGAGGCACCUGGACAUCGGCGUGGCCUGCGAGGACGAGGACGAGAACGACGUCGAUAUCCCCCUCGUGUCGGUCUACUUCCGCUAG
rnacentral:rRNA from 1 species